GAUGAACGCUGGCGGCGUGCCUAAUACAUGCAAGUCGAGCGAACGGACGAGAAGCUUGCUUCUCUGAUGUUAGCGGCGGACGGGUGAGUAACACGUGGAUAACCUACCUAUAAGACUGGGAUAACUUCGGGAAACCGGAGCUAAUACCGGAUAAUAUUUUGAACCGCAUGGUUCAAAAGUGAAAGACGGUCUUGCUGUCACUUAUAGAUGGAUCCGCGCUGCAUUAGCUAGUUGGUAGGUAACGGCUUACCAAGGCAACGAUGCAUAGCCGACCUGAGAGGGUGAUCGGCCACACUGGAACUGAGACAAGGUCCAGACUCCUACGGGAGGCAGCAGUAGGGAAUCUUCCGCAAUGGGCGAAAGCCUGACGGAGCAACGCCGCGUGAGUGAUGAAGGUCUUCGGAUCGUAAAACUCUGUUAUUAGGGAAGAACAUAUGUGUAAGUAACUGUGCACAUCUUGACGGUACCUAAUCAGAAAGCCACGGCUAACUACGUG
rnacentral:rRNA from 1 species